rnacentral:tRNA from 1 species
GCGGGUGUAAUUCAGUGGUAGAAUCUCACCCUCCCAAGGUGAAUGUCGUGGGUUCAAGUCCCAUCGCCCGCU